rnacentral:rRNA from 1 species
UAUAAGUACACACUCUCGUACAGUGAAACCGCAAACGGCUCAUUACAACAGCUGUAAUUUACUCGGUCUUGAACAGCUUACUCGGAUAACUGUGGUAAUUCUAGAGCUAAUACGUGCACCAAAGCUGUCCCCCACCGGGGGCAGUGCAUUUGUUGGAGCAAAACCAGGCGGCUUCGGCCGUUCACUAGCUGAACCAGAACAACUAAGCUGAUCGCAUGGGCUUGUCCCGGCGACGUACCGUUCAAGCAUCUGCCUUAUCAAAUUUCGACGGUAGUGUAUUUGCCUACCAUGUUUGUGACGGGUAACGGAGGAUAAGGGUUCGACUCCGGAGAAGGGGCCUGAGAAAUGGCCACUACGUCUAAGGAUGGCAGCAGGCGCGCAAAUUACCCACUCUCGGUUUGAGGAGGUAGUGACGAAAAAUAACAAGGUGGUUCUCUACGAGGCCCACCAUUGGAAUGGGUACAACCCAAACCCUUUAACGAGUAUCAAUGAGAGGGCAAGUCUGGUGCCAGCAGCCGCGGUAAUUCCAGCUCUCAAAAUGCAUAGAUACAUUGCUGCGGUUAAAAAGCUCGUAGUUGGAUUUGUGCUGGCGUCGUGGUCCACCCGAAAGGGCGGUACUGCGCUCGUCGGCUUUUGGCCGGUCUUCGUAUGGUCUCCCUAACCGGUGGUCAUGCGUGGCUGGCCGCUUUACUUUGAGCAAAUCAGAGUGCUCAGCACAGGCGUUUCGCCGGAAUGUUCGUGCAUGGAAUAAUAGAACAGGAUCACGGUCCUCUUUUAUUGGUUUUGUGGACUGAGAUAAUGGUUAACAGAGACGAACGGGGGCAUUCGUAUUGCUGCGUGAGAGGUGAAAUUCUUGGACCGCAGCAGGACGGACUACAGCGAAAGCAUUUGCCAAGCGCGUCUUCAUUAAUCAAGAACGAAAGUCAGAGGUUCGAAGGCGAUCAGAUACCGCCCUAGUUCUGACCGUAAACGAUGCCAACUAGCGAUCCGCCGGUGGCUUCUAGGCCCUGGUGGGGAGCUUCCCGGAAACGAAAGUCUUCCGGUUCCGGGGGAAGUAUGGUUGCAAAGCUGAAACUUAAAGGAAUUGACGGAAGGGCACCACCAGGUGUGGAUCCUGCGGCUUAAUUUGACUCAACACGGGAAAACUCACCCGGCCCGGACACCGUGAGGAUUGACAGAUUGAUAGCUUUUUCAUGAUUCGGUGGUUGGUGGUGCAUGGCCGUUCUUAGUUCGUGGAUCGAUUUGUCUGGUUUAUUCCGAUAACGAGCGAGACUCCAGCCUACUAACUAGUGCAGGCAUUGCUUCUGUGCCUUUCGCACUUCUUAGAGGGAUUGGCUGCGUCUAGCGGCACGAAACGGAGCAAUAACAGGUCUGUGAUGCCCUUAGAUGUCCGGGGCUGCACGCGCGCUACACUGGCAAAGGCAACGUGCUUGUCCGUCUCCGAGAGGAGCCGGUAAACCCUUGAAAGUUUGCCGUGAUUGGGAUCGGAGAUUGCAAUUAUUUUCCGUGAACGAGGAAUACCUAGUAAGUGCGAGUCAUCAGCUCGCGUUGACUACGUCCCUGCCCUUUGUACACACCGCCCGUCGCUGCCUAGAACUGAGCCAUUUCGAGAAUAUUCGGGAUCGCUGGUUGUGCACUCGCAAGGGUGCGCCUCCGGCCGGAGAACGAACGUAAUCGCAGUGGCUUGAACCGGGCAAAAGU